CAUGCAAGUCGAACGGUAACAGAUCUAGCUUGCUAGAUGCUGACGAGUGGCGCACGGGUGCGUAACGCGUAUACAAUCUACCUUUAACUGAGGAAUAGCCCAGAGAAAUUUGGAUUAAUACCUCAUAGUAUUAUAUUAAGGCAUCUUUUUAUAAUUAAAACUCCGGUGGUUAAAGAUGAGUAUGCGUCCUAUUAGCUUGUUGGUAAGGUAAAAGCUUACCAAGGCUACGAUAGGUAGGGGGCCUGAAAGGGUGAUCCCCCACACUGGUACUGAGACACGGACCAGACUCCUACGGGAGGCAGCAGUGAGGAAUAUUGCACAAUGGAGGAAACUCUGAUGCAGCCAUGCCGCGUGCAGGAUGAAUGCCCUAUGGGUUGUAAACUGCUUUUAUACAAGAAGAAACCUCGGUACGUGUACCGACUUGACGGUAUUGUAUGAAUAAGCACCGGCUAACUCCGUGCCAGCAGCCGCGGUAAUACGGAGGGUGCAAGCGUUAUCCGGAUUUAUUAGGUUUAAAGGGUCCGCAGGCGGAAUAUUAAGUCAGUGGUGAAAGCCUACAGCUCAACUGUAGAACUGCCAUUGAAACUGUUAUUCUUGAGUAUGGAUGAAGUGGGCGGAAUAUGUCAUGUAGCGGUGAAAUGCAUAGAUAUGACAUGGAACACCAAUUGCGAAGGCAGCUCACUAAACCAUUACUGACG
rnacentral:rRNA from 1 species